GGGACACGUGGUAUCCUGUCUGAAUAUGGGGGGACCAUCCUCCAAGGCUAAAUACUCCUGACUGACCGAUAGUGAACCAGUACCGUGAGGGAAAGGCGAAAAGAACCCCGGCGAGGGGAGUGAAAAAGAACCUGAAACCGUGUACGUACAAGCAGUGGGAGCCUCUUAAUGGGGUGACUGCGUACCUUUUGUAUAAUGGGUCAGCGACUUAUAUUCUGUAGCAAGGUUAACCGAAUAGGGGAGCCGAAGGGAAACCGAGUCUUAACUGGGCGUUAAGUUGCAGGGUAUAGACCCGAAACCCGGUGAUCUAGCCAUGGGCAGGUUGAAGGUUGGGUAACACUAACUGGAGGACCGAACCGACUAAUGUUGAAAAAUUAGCGGAUGACUUGUGGCUGGGGGUGAAAGGCCAAUCAAACCGGGAGAUAGCUGGUUCUCCCCGAAAGCUAUUUAGGUAGCGCCUCGUGAAUUCAUCUCCGGGGGUAGAGCACUGUUUCGGCAAGGGGGUCAUCCCGACUUACCAACCCGAUGCAAACUGCGAAUACCGGAGAAUGUUAUCACGGGAGACACACGGCGGGUGCUAACGUCCGUCGUGAAGAGGGAAACAACCCAGACCGCCAGCUAAGGUCCCAAAGUCAUGGUUAAGUGGGAAACGAUGUGGGAAGGCCCAGACAGCCAGGAUGUUGGCUUAGAAGCAGCCAUCAUUUAAAGAAAGCGUAAUAGCUCACUGGUCGAGUCGGCCUGCGCGGAAGAUGUAACGGGGCUAAACCAUGCACCGAAGCUGCGGCAGCGACACUAUGUGUUGUUGGGUAGGGGAGCGUUCUGUAAGCCUGUGAAGGUAGCCUGUGAGGGUUGCUGGAGGUAUCAGAAGUGCGAAUGCUGACAUAAGUAACGAUAAAGCGGGUGAAAAGCCCGCUCGCCGGAAGACCAAGGGUUCCUGUCCAACGUUAAUCGGGGCAGGGUGAGUCGACCCCUAAGGCGAGGCCGAAAGGCGUAGUCGAUGGGAAACAGGUUAAUAUUCCUGUACUUGGUGUUACUGCGAAGGGGGGACGGAGAAGGCUAUGUUGGCCGGGCGACGGUUGUCCCGGUUUAAGCGUGUAGGCUGGUUUUCCAGGCAAAUCCGGAAAACCAAGGCUGAGGCGUGAUGACGAGGCACUACGGUGCUGAAGCGACAAAUGCCCUGCUUCCAGGAAAAGCCUCUAAGCAUCAGGUAACAUCAAAUCGUACCCCAAACCGACACAGGUGGUCAGGUAGAGAAUACCAAGGCGCUUGAGAGAACUCGGGUGAAGGAACUAGGCAAAAUGGUGCCGUAACUUCGGGAGAAGGCACGCUGAUAUGUAGGUGAAGCGACUUGCUCGUGGAGCUGAAAUCAGUCGAAGAUACCAGCUGGCUGCAACUGUUUAUUAAAAACACAGCACUGUGCAAACACGAAAGUGGACGUAUACGGUGUGACGCCUGCCCGGUGCCGGAAGGUUAAUUGAUGGGGUUAGCGGUAACGCGAAGCUCUUGAUCGAAGCCCCGGUAAACGGCGGCCGUAACUAUAACGGUCCUAAGGUAGCGAAAUUCCUUGUCGGGUAAGUUCCGACCUGCACGAAUGGCGUAAUGAUGGCCAGGCUGUCUCCACCCGAGACUCAGUGAAAUUGAACUCGCUGUGAAGAUGCAGUGUACCCGCGGCAAGACGGAAAGACCCCGUGAACCUUUACUAUAGCUUGACACUGAACAUUGAGCCUUGAUGUGUAGGAUAGGUGGGAGGCUUUGAAGUGUGGACGCCAGUCUGCAUGGAGCCGACCUUGAAAUACCACCCUUUAAUGUUUGAUGUUCUAACGUUGGCCCGUAAUCCGGGUUGCGGACAGUGUCUGGUGGGUAGUUUGACUGGGGCGGUCUCCUCCUAAAGAGUAACGGAGGAGCACGAAGGUUGGCUAAUCCUGGUCGGACAUCAGGAGGUUAGUGCAAUGGCAUAAGCCAGCUUGACUGCGAGCGUGACGGCGCGAGCAGGUGCGAAAGCAGGUCAUAGUGAUCCGGUGGUUCUGAAUGGAAGGGCCAUCGCUCAACGGAUAAAAGGUACUCCGGGGAUAACAGGCUGAUACCGCCCAAGAGUUCAUAUCGACGGCGGUGUUUGGCACCUCGAUGUCGGCUCAUCACAUCCUGGGGCUGAAGUAGGUCCCAAGGGUAUGGCUGUUCGCCAUUUAAAGUGGUACGCGAGCUGGGUUUAGAACGUCGUGAGACAGUUCGGUCCCUAUCUGCCGUGGGCGCUGGAGAACUGAGGGGGGCUGCUCCUAGUACGAGAGGACCGGAGUGGACGCAUCACUGGUGUUCGGGUUGUCAUGCCAAUGGCACUGCCCGGUAGCUAAAUGCGGAAGAGAUAAGUGCUGAAAGCAUCUAAGCACGAAACUUGCCCCGAGAUGAGUUCUCCCUGACUCCUUGAGAGUCCUGAAGGAACGUUGAAGACGACGACGUUGAUAGGCCGGGUGUGUAAGCGCAGCGAUGCGUUGAGCUAACCGGUACUAAUGAACCGUGAGGCUUAACCUUACAACGCCGAAG
rnacentral:rRNA from 1 species